CCUACGGGAGGCAGCAGUGAGGAAUAUUGGUCAAUGGGCGCGAGCCUGAACCAGCCAAGUAGCGUGAAGGAUGACUGCCCUACGGGUUGUAAACUUCUUUUAUAAAGGAAUAAAGUGAGGCACGUGUGCAUUUUUGUAUGUACUUUAUGAAUAAGGAUCGGCUAACUCCGUGCCAGCAGCCGCGGUAAUACGGAAGGUCCGGGCGUUAUCCGGAUUUAUUGGGUUUAAAGGGAGCGUAGGCCGCAUGUCAAGCGUGCUGUGAAAUGUCCGGGCUCAACCCGGGCCUUGCAGCGCGAACUGGCGUGCUUGAGUCCGCGGAAAGCAGGCGGAAUUCGUCGUGUAGCGGUGAAAUGCUUAGAUAUGACGAAGAACCCCGAUUGCGAAGGCAGCUUGCUGCAGCGGAACUGACGCUGAUGCUCGAAAGCGCGGGUAUCGAACAGGAUUAGAUACCCUGGUAGUC
rnacentral:rRNA from 1 species